AAGGUUUUUGUGACUGAGUGGCGGACGGGUGAGUAACGCGUGGGUAACCUGCCUCAUACAGGGGGAUAACAGUUAGAAAUGACUGCUAAUACCGCAUAAGACCACAGAGCCGCAUGGCUCGGUGGGAAAAACUCCGGUGGUAUGAGAUGGACCCGCGUCUGAUUAGGUAGUUGGUGGGGUAACGGCCUACCAAGCCAACGAUCAGUAGCCGACCUGAGAGGGUGACCGGCCACAUUGGGACUGAGACACGGCCCAAACUCCUACGGGAGGCAGCAGUGGGGAAUAUUGCACAAUGGGGGAAACCCUGAUGCAGCGACGCCGCGUGAGCGAAGAAGUAUUUCGGUAUGUAAAGCUCUAUCAGCAGGGAAGAAAAUGACGGUACCUGACUAAGAAGCACCGGCUAAAUACGUGCCAGCAGCCGCGGUAAUACGUAUGGUGCAAGCGUUAUCCGGAUUUACUGGGUGUAAAGGGAGCGUAGACGGCUGUGUAAGUCUGAAGUGAAAGCCCGGGGCUCAACCCCGGGACUGCUUUGGAAACUAUGCAGCUAGAGUGUCGGAGAGGUAAGUGGAAUUCCCAGUGUAGCGGUGAAAUGCGUAGAUAUUGGGAG
rnacentral:rRNA from 1 species